CUGUGCCUUUAAGCCAACCCACCACAUCGGUGCCACACCGGAUGCCGGAUGGGUAGUAAUUAUCAAAGAGGCUGAUGCUUGCUUUAUAAGUGUGGUGUCAGACAUGGCCUGGGAAGCGGCAGGACUAGGUUGGGAUUGUUUGUCUGUCUCUAGUUUUGUGCCCUCGUUUGCUCCUUCUCAUUCUGUGCUCCUGUGGUUAGCAGCUCGUGGAUAUCCGUGGUCUUCUGCAGAAGGGACCCAUGGUUGGGAGUGGUGCUGCAGGAGUUGGGAGUCGAGCGAUUGAUCGUUGUGACUCAGUUAGCGAUUCGUGAGCUAAGGAGUGUGUGGGUUUUGUUGUCUUCUGCUGGUUUCAUGGUCCGAUUGGCCACCCAGUUCAAUACGCGUCCACUAUCGCAGGGAAAUCGCAUUUCAUCAGCUGUUGUGGUACGUGGCUACUUUGAUAAAUAUGUGUUAGUUUAUAGUCUAGUUAGUAGCAUUAACCUUUGUAUCCAUUUCCCACUCUCAGCAGGUUUUACGCUGGCUACAUCCAUUGGAGUGGAUCUCUAUUUUCACCAGCUAAUACUUGUGCUGCUGUUUUGUCUCUCUGAUUUUGUUUUAUUUAGUAUGCCGUCUGUCCGCGACGUGAUGCCAUUAGCAGUAGGCCUAAUCUAGGCGAGCCUACUGUGCGUGCUGGCACAGGCUUCUUACAGUAACCCUCCGCUUGUGUGUGCAUGCGGGCCUGUGUAUGUGUUAUUUGUAUGGUUUUAUUUCUGUCUUUGUCUGUGGGAAAAGGUCAGCGCGUCAUUGGCGUUGUGUUUAGUUUGUUUAUUUCUUUGUUAUCUUGUCCAUUAUAUGUCUCACCAGUGGCAAGUGUCGUCUAUUGCAUGGGCAUGUGUCUGUAUUUGUCACAAAGUCUGCUGUGAGUGGUUAAGGUGCUUUUGUGGUGCCCCUGUUGGGUUUUGGUUCUGUUGCAGUUGUGCAUGCUGUGUUUACUCUAACUGUAAGCUUACUUACACCUUUGUUUCACUGCCCCUCAGACGGUGAGAGCGUCUGUUGGCUCCUCAUGACUUGACCCAUUGGUGUGAUUGUGUCUUUCAUUGUUUCUUUUUUUUUUGUUACCGAAGUUGGGGCUUUACUGCAGGGAGGCUUGUCACCUUGUGGUGGGUGUCUAUUUUUCAUGUGUGUGUUUU